rnacentral:rRNA from 1 species
GACGUAGGGGGCAAGCGUUGUCCGGAAUAAUUGGGCGUAAAGGGCGCGUAGGCGGGAAUGGAAGUUGGUUGUAUAAGGCUAAGGCUUAACCUUGGAUGGCAACCAAAACUCCAUGCCUGGAGUGCAGAAGAGGAGAGUGGAAUUCCACGUGUAGCGGUGAAAUGCGCAGAUAUCAGGAGGAACACCGGUGGCGAAGGCGGGUCUCUGGGCCGAAACUGACGCUGAGGAGCGAAAGCGUGGGGAGCAAACAGG